rnacentral:rRNA from 1 species
AAACAUCGCCUCUUGAUAACAAAAAUAUAAGAGGUCCUGCCUGCCCUGUGACAUAAUGUUUAACGGCCGCGGUAUCUUGACCGUGUGAAGGUAGCGUAAUCAUUUGUCUUUUAAAUGAAGACCUGUAUGAAUGGCGUAACGAGAGCUUAACUGUCUCACUCUUUUAGUCAAUGAAAUUGAUCUCCCCGUGCAGAAGCGAGGAUAUAAACAUAAGACGAAAAGACCCUAUGGAGCUUUAGAAUACGAAACAGCCCUCUAAACCUAAUUUAUAAUAUAUCUGUGACCCUGUUUCUUAUUUCUUCGGUUGGGGCGACCACGGAGAAAAAUAAAACCUCCACGAGGAAAAUAUUUAUAUUUCUUAAAACCAAGAGCAACACCUCUAAUUUUCAGAAUCUCUGUCCACAAAUGACCCGGCUACAAUAAAGCCGAUCAACGAAACAAGUUACCCUAGGGAUAACAGCGCAAUCCCCUUUUAGAGCCCACAUCGACAAGGGGGUUUACGACCUCGAUGUUGGAUCAGGACAUCCUAAUGGCGCAACCGCUAUUAAGGGUUCGUUUGUUCAACGAUUAAAGUCCUAC